rnacentral:tRNA from 1 species
GCGCUGGUGGUUCAGUGGUAGAAUUCUCGCCUGCCACGCGGGAGACCGUGGUUCGAUUCCCCGCUAGCGCA